UAGAGUUGACAAUAAUACCUCUUAAGGUGCUUGAGUGUUCCCAUCGCGGAUGUGAUGGUUUAAACUUGGGAGUCCAUCUUAAAAGACGUCACUCUA
rnacentral:ncRNA from 1 species